rnacentral:lncRNA from 1 species
ACCCGUUUUUGUGGCCUUUUUCCGCUGGACGAACUUGGCGCCCCGGCCUUCCGGCGGUUAUUUUUGGGCGUGGCUGUGCCCGCGGCCAGUUUUUUGCACAUGGAGGCACCUCCCAAAGUCUAGCGCCAUUCCGAGACCGGCGGUCGAAGUUGGCCAGCCGACCGCCCCAAGGCUAUAGCCAACACGUUUUUGUGGCCUUUUUCCACUGGACAAACUUGGCGCCCCGGCUUUCGGGCAGUUAUUUUUGGGUACGACUCUGCCCGCGGCCUAUUUUUGGCACACGGAGGUGCCUCACAAAGUCUCGCGCCAUUCCGAGUCCGGCGGACGAAGUUGGCCAGCACCACCCCCCAAGGCUAUAGUCCGCCCGUUUUUGUGGGCUUUUUCCGCUGGACGAACUUGGCGCCCCGGCCUUCGGGCGGUUAUUUUUGGGCGUGGCUGUGCCCGCGGCCUAUUUUUGGCACACGGAGAUGCCUCGCAAGGUCUCGCGCCAUUCCGAGUCUGGCGGACGAAGUGGGCCAGCCCAACCCCCCAAGGCUAUAGCCCACCCGUUUUUGUGGGCUUUUUCCGCUGGACGAACUUGGCGCCCCGGCUUUCGGACGGUUAUUUUUGGGCGCGGCUGUGCCCGCGGCCUAUUUUUAGCACACGGAGGCGCCUCGCAAAGUCUCGCGCCAUUCCGAGUCCGGCGCACGAAGUUGGCCAGCCCCACCCCCCAAGGCUAUAGCCCACCCGUUUUUGUGGCCAUUUUCCGCUGAACGAACUUGGCGCCCCGGCCUUCGGGCAGUUAUUUUUGUGCGCGGCAGUGGCCGCGCCUAUUUUUGGCACACAGAGGCCGCUCGCAAAGUCUCGCGCCAGUCCGAGUCCGGCGGACGAAGUUGGCCAGCCCCACCCCCCAAGGCUAUAGCCCACCCGUUUUUGUGGCCUUUUUCCGCUGGACGAAUUUGGCGCCCCGGCCUUCGGGUGGUUAUUUUUAUGCGCGGCUGUGCCCGCGGCCUAUUUUUGGCAUGCGGAGGCGCCUCGUAAAGUCUAGCGCCAUUCCGAGUCCGGCGGACGAAGUUGGCCAGCCCCACCCCCCAAGGCUAUAGCCCACCCAUUUUUGUGGGCUUUUUCCGCUCGACGAACUUGGUACCCCGGCCUUCGGGCGAUUAUUUUUGGGCGCGGCUGUGCCCGCGGCCUAUUUUAUGCACACGGAGGCACCUCGUAAAGUGUCGCGCCAUUCUGAGUCCGGCGGACGAAGUUGGCCAGCCCCACCCCCCAAGGCUAUAGCCCACCCGUUUUUGUGGCCUUUUUCCGCUGGACGAACUUGGCGCCCCGGCUUUCGGGCGGUUAUUUUUGGGCGCGACUGUGCCCGCGGCCUAUUUUUGGCACACGGAGGCGCCUCACAAAGUCUCGCGCCAUUCCGAGUCCGGCGGACGAAUUUGGCCAGCCCCACCCCCCAAGGCUAUAGCCCGCCCGUUUUUGUGGGCUU